AUAACUUUGUCACACGGCCAGAUUAAUUCGUCAAUCGGGGUAAAAUAAUUUGUUUUGCGAUAUAACUGUGAAAUGACAAACUCAUGGUAGUAACAUAACAAAUUGAUCGAGCACUAUUACAAAGUUUCAACUGGUGUUGACAAAAACAAACUUGCGCAUGACUGAUUUAUUUGCGUGACGACUCUUCACAACCGUAUUUGACAAAUCCUCUUCGCGGUCAAUGUAGAAAUGACGAGUUUAAGUCGGCCAUAACGAAUUAUAUUACAAAUUAUUUGCUGAAAAACAAAUCAAUUUGUUGAGGCAAAAUGCAUGACAAAUUUAGCUCCUGAAGACAGUUCGGGACACCCCGCACAUAAUCAGCGUCUUCGAAUCACUCGCCGGUCGCCGUGAUUUUGCUGCGAAGCAAGGCUUGGGUAGAUCGUAAAAGUUUCUUGCAGAGUUUCGCAGGAUUCAUGGUGAGGACCUAAUCACACUGUUCAACCAAGGACUACGAAGACUGGCAGAACCCCUUUCUGGACUUCACAAAGAUAGAUGCAAAUGAGCCAAGAAAGAUGUGACAGUUUACUUCCCGGAAGCUAAGAAGAAAUUGCCAUACAGAUUCUACCAACCUUUUUCAAGGAAGACCUGGUGAUAUAUUCAUCUCAAGUGACAAGGUUGAUACGAAGCCCAUGUACACACGUGUAUUCUGCGAUCAAGAGGAAUCAUAUGAGCUUGUUCUGGAGGAGCAAAUAGUCUGUCAAGUCCAGGAUAAAGUGCAUGCAUUGGCUUGUUAAGUAGCUGGUUUUUAUUUUUCAUUCAGCCUAUGGCUAUGAGCCAUCAGUCAUGAAAAUUCGUGAGUUUUGCCAACUUGGAAUUCUUCAGGUGAAAGAUACAUGUCCUGUUGAUAAAUU
rnacentral:lncRNA from 1 species